rnacentral:lncRNA from 1 species
GGGACAUAGGAGGGAAAAGUUAGUAGAGAGAAACAGUGUUCAAAGAAACAGAAAUUUGAAGAAAUAGAGAUGAAGGAAAGGCACCUGAUCAGUCCUGAUCGUCUCUAAAGGGCUCUCUCUUCUGCCCUAGUCCUUCACAGCAGGGCUGUCAGAGUGUAGGUGGUGCCUCCAGCUUCCUCCAGUGAUUUGCCUCCUGGCAUUUGGUGGCAUGGUUCUCCUUCAUGGCUCCCAACACAGUGCUCCAGCUCCUGGGCCCCACCUCUAGGUCUGAUCAUGGAAGAGGAAAGAUCUACAUCAGUAUUGUUUCAAUUUAAUGAAGAAUCUCACAACAGGAAGUUUAGGAAUGAGUGUGAAAUGAUGUUCGGAGUACGUCUUCAUUGCUUUGCUUGGAACAAAAUGGCAAGGAGACAAUACGUGGGGCAGGCAGGAAUGGCAAAAUUAAGAGAAAUGCUGAUUUAUUUUGACUCGUCAUUUCCAGAUUGGAGGAAACAAGCACAUGUUACAAGGUCAAAAUAAAGCUGUCAGAGAAAAUAAAGAGGUGAAAUGAGUUAGAGAGAGAUCCUGGAACACAGUGAGCAAACAGAAAGCAUGAGACCAUCAGCAAG